AUUGAACGCUGGCGGCAUGCCUUACACAUGCAAGUCGAACGGUAACGGGCCUUCGGGUGCCGACGAGUGGCGAACGGGUGAGUAAUGUAUCGGAACGUACCUUUCAGUGGGGGAUAACGUAGCGAAAGUUACGCUAAUACCGCAUAUUCUGUGAGCAGGAAAGCAGGGGAUCGCAAGACCUUGCGCUGAUUGAGCGGCCGAUAUCAGAUUAGCUAGUUGGUGAGGUAAAGGCUCACCAAGGCGACGAUCUGUAGCGGGUCUGAGAGGAUGAUCCGCCACACUGGAACUGAGACACGGUCCAGACUCCUACGGGAGGCAGCAGUGGGGAAUUUUGGACAAUGGGGGCAACCCUGAUCCAGCCAUGCCGCGUGAGUGAAGAAGGCCUUCGGGUUGUAAAGCUCUUUCAGCCGGGAAGAAAUCGCAUCAGCUAAUACCUGGUGUGGAUGACGGUACCGGAAUAAGAAGCACCGGCUAACUACGUGCCAGCCGCCGCUGUAAAAC
rnacentral:rRNA from 1 species